rnacentral:rRNA from 1 species
UACGUAGGGUGCGAGCGUUGUCCGGAAUUACUGGGCGUAAAGAGCUCGUAGGUGGUUUGUCGCGUUGUUCGUGAAAACUCACAGCUUAACUGUGGGCGUGCGGGCGAUACGGGCAGACUGGAGUACUGCAGGGGAGACUGGAAUUCCUGGUGUAGCGGUGGAAUGCGUAGAUAUCAGGAGCAACACCGGUGGCGAAGGCGGGUCUCUGGGCAGUAACUGACGCUGAGGAGCGAAAGCGUGGGGAGCGAACAGG